UCGGCCGCUGGCCUGUAUGGCAGUGUCCGCUCCUGUCAAAUUCGUUUCUCUAUACGGCGCGAGCAUGAGCGAAGACGAAGAAGAAAGAAGUGACUGGCAAGACUGGGGGCUGCAUAAGCAAGCAAGCAAGCAAGGCUGCACAAACCCUUCGGGCGCAUCUUUCAACUUCCACAGGACGGGGGAGUUGGCUGGCUUCUGGCGUGCGGGCUUGCAUGCGAGCAUAGCAUGCAGCUCUGCAAGCUCGCUCCGAACGCAUGAGACAAAGGGGAUUGCACGAGCAGCGCCCUCAGAACAAGGGUUCGAAGGGGUUGCAGUCUGGCUCCGCUGCAGACCGUGUCCCGCACGGCUGAAGAUCUCUACUUCGCUCCUGAACGCGUCACCUUAUACAAAGUGAAAUAACGCGAGAUACCAUAGCGUAGAACAUCGGUUUUUGAGGCAUGAAGCAGGAAACCGUGUGGAAGUACUAUGCUUCUUUUAAUUACCUGCGACACGGCCGAUUUCUUUCACCCUCUCUCGUGAUUUGCUGAACUUGGGAGU